GGAGAGAUGGCCGAGAGGCUGAAGGCGGUUGACUCGAAAUCAACUGUCCCGCUUAGCGGGACCGGGGGUUCAAAUCCCUCUCUCUCCG
rnacentral:tRNA from 2 species